UACAGGGGGGGGCAAGCGUUUGUUCGGAAUUACUGGGCGUAAAGGGUCUGUAGGUGGCCAACUAAGUCAGACGUGAAAUCCCUCAGCUUAACUGGGGAACUGCGUCUGAUACUGGAUGGCUUGAGUGUGGGAGAGGAAUGCGGAAUUCCAGGUGUAGCGGUGAAAUGCGUAGAUAUCUGGAGGAACACCGGUGGCGAAGGCGGCAUUCUGGACCAUAACUGACACUGAGAGACGAAAGCCAGGGGGAGCAAACGGG
rnacentral:rRNA from 1 species